UUUUUACAAAACAUUUUUGCAGAUAAUAUAGUUCUCGACUUCUUGUUGUUUUGAAUCCUUUUUUAAAAUGUUUUCGAGAUAAACUUUCUGCCUUUGACCAUUUGGUCAAAGAUAUCCAAGUCGUACGUGUUUAAUCUCGCCCGUGAAAGACGACAAACUAAUUUUAAAAACUCAAGAAAUGUGGGAAAAGACGAUACUUGAAAUAUAUGGAUUUACACUCGGAUUUACAAAGGUAAAAAACGUAUUUUCAUAUUUAAUUUUAUUUAGACUUUUAUAUCUUAUUUGACAUCUACUAUCAGACUUAUCUUUUAAAAGAGGGAAUUAGGUUUUGUGUUAUGCACCACUUAAUUUUAUGUAUAAGCUGGGGGUGCUGGAAGCUGUCAGCUGAUCUGGGAAUUAAGGUGGUUUCUACCUAGCUUUCUUGCAUGGUUGGGGAUACUUCUUGAUUUUUGUGUCAUAUAAAUAGUAAUAUAGAGGCUUGAGAUAAAUCACUUUUCCCUAAGCUGAGGUAAUAAGGUUUAGUUGAGGUGUGUGCCAAGGCAUUACAUGUGUCAGUGUGAUCGCACCUCAUUCCCAGGAUGGCCUGUUUUCUUACAAGUUUUCUCAGUAAAUAUCACUCUGAAUCAACAAUGUACUUUAUAAGUACACUCAUAGUUCUGAUACCCAUGGUUUAAGCUGAGGAGUAUGUUAGGUCACAUUCUUUUGUUACCUUGAUCAUAUGCUAUAAUUAUGUUACUGGUGGAUUCUUGUACAACCUGUAUAAUUAAUCUAUUCUUUUUUAUUGCAGAUUUAUUCCACAAUGACACACUCCUUUGUGGGUGGCAAAAUACAGUACCAAGCCACAUCUUUGGAAACUGAACAUACUGUAUUUUACAUGCUUCCAGAAAUUAUGUCACCUUGGCUAUAGGCUAUAGAGUAAUUUUCAUGAUUCAGACAUGCAUUGGACUAAAACUCAUGCCACAUACAUGAAAACAAGGCUCCAUAGCCAAAGUGACAUACAUUCUGGAAGGGUGUAUUUGACUUUUUGUAAAAUUAUUAGCAGUAAAC